rnacentral:rRNA from 1 species
UCGGGAAUUUUGGGCAAUGGGCGAAAGCCUGACCCAGCAACGCCGCGUGAAGGAUGAAGUAUUUCGGUAUGUAAACUUCGAAAGAAUAGGAAGAAUAAAUGACGGUACUAUUUAUAAGGUCCGGCUAACUACGUGCCAGCAGCCGCGGUAAUACGUAGGGACCAAGCGUUGUUCGGAUUUACUGGGCGUAAAGCGUGUGCAGACGGACUAGCAAGUGGUGUAUGAAAUCGCGGUGCUUAACACAGCGAGGUUAUGCCAGACUGCUGGACUAGAGUGCGAGAGAGGGAUGUGGAAUUCCGGGUGUAGUGGUGAAAUGCGUAGAGAUCCGGAGGAACCCCAGAGGCGAAAGCGGCGUCCUGGCUCGCAACUGACGUUCAGACACGACAGCAUGGGGAGCAAACGGGAUUAGAUACCCCAGUAGUCCCUGAGCGGGCUGGCAAGGCGCAU